UACGUAGGGUGCGAGCGUUGUCCGGAAUUACUGGGCGGAAAGAGCUCGUAGGUGGUUUGUCGCGUUGUUCGUGAAAACUCACAGCUUAACUGUGGGCGUGCGGGCGAUACGGGCAGACUGGAGUACUGCAGGGGAGACUGGAAUUCCUGGUGUAGCGGUGGAAUGCGUAGAUACUGGGAGGAACACCGGUGGCGAAGGCGGCUACCUGGACCGGUUCUGACACUGAUGCGCGAAAGCGUGGGGAGCAAACAGG
rnacentral:rRNA from 1 species